GAUGAACGCUGGCGGCGUGCUUAACGCAUGCAAGUCGAACGGAAAGGCCGAAGCUUGCUUCGGUACUCGAGUGGCGAACGGGUGAGUAACACGUGGGUGAUCUGCCCUGUACUUCGGGAUAAGCUUGGGAAACUGGGUCUAAUACCGGAUAUGACGAUCUCUUGGAUGGGGUUGUGGAAAGCUUUUGCGGUAUGGGAUGAGCUCGCGGCCUAUCAGCUUGUUGGUGGGGUAAUGGCCUACCAAGGCGUCGACGGGUAGCCGGCCUGAGAGGGUGUACGGCCACAUUGGGACUGAGAUACGGCCCAGACUCCUACGGGAGGCAGCAGUGGGGAAUAUUGCACAAUGGGCGCAAGCCUGAUGCAGCGACGCCGCGUGGGGGAUGACGGCCUUCGGGUUGUAAACUCCUUUCGCAAUCGACGAAGCCUUUUGGUGACGGUAGGUUGAGAAGAAGCACCGGCUAACUACGUG
rnacentral:rRNA from 1 species